UGCGAAGGGGGCUAGCGUUGCUCGGAAUCACUGGGCGUAAAGGGUGCGUAGGCGGGUCUUUAAGUCAGGGGUGAAAUCCUGGAGCUCAACUCCAGAACUGCCUUUGAUACUGAGGAUCUUGAGUUCGGGAGAGGUGAGUGGAACUGCGAGUGUAGAGGUGAAAUUCGUAGAUAUUCGCAAGAACACCAGUGGCGAAGGCGGCUUACUGGUCCGGUUCUGACGCUGAGGCGCGAAAGCGUGGGGAGCAAACAGG
rnacentral:rRNA from 1 species